GUGUCUGUGCCGGUCCCAGGAGAACCUGCAGAGGCAUCGGGUCAGCGGUGCUCCUGCGGGCCGACACUCAC
ensembl:miRNA MIR4746 microRNA 4746